UAUCUCCUUUCUUAUUCACUUUCACGAGCGGGCAAAAUGAAUUUAGACAUUCUCCAAACUUUAUAUGGAAACUGCAAUCAAUCAUCAAUCAGUUGAAAAUCUUCUCCAAAAUUACGAAGACCUUUCCAUUAUUAUGGCUUAUAUACUCUCUAUGCUUGACCAGAGGAUUCAAACGCGAAUUGUAUUCUCCUUCGUGUUCAUCUUUUUUUCAUCAUCUGCAAAUCUGAAUCAUUGGUGAGUGCUGUCAAGCAAUUGCUUCUUAUAUUAUCUAUUAUCUUAAUGUUGAAGUUUAAUCCGUUAAUUGGUGGUAUGUUAAUGAAUCCUUAAAACCCUAAUUUCAAUUUCAUACAUCUCUACAUGUCCAUCGCUGUAUUUCUCAUAAACCCCAAAUCAAGGUAUGUUUUCUUCUUAAUGUUUGAUGUUGUAAACGAAUAUGUUUUCUUCUUAUUCUUUGAUGCUGGUGGUCUAGGGUUUCUCUGAGACCAUGACGGCUGCGGGUGUAGGUUCCGCUGGUGAGGUCAUGAUGAUUUUGAUGGUUCAGCAUGUAGUAAGUGGUUCGAUUUUGAUGGAAACGAUUGGGAUUUAGGGUUCCGAGGGCAACGAUGGUGACUCAUUCGUUGAUUGUUGUGUAGAUAGAUGAUCGAUUGAGCAGGCUACAAGUCUUCAAAGGGGAUUGGGAACUACACACGCGAUUUGAGGUUUUGGGUUUCAAUCCAAUCCAUAUAAUUCUUCUCAAUAUCUCUAUGAUCUUUCCAUUUUUUAGGUGCUAUACAUUAUAAUCCGCCUAGGCAUGCUACUGUUAGUUUACUGAAUUUCAUGUCAAAUGAUUCUACAUUUGCAAUCAAGUUUGAAUACUUUUUCAAGAAUGAAUUCUAUUUUUAAUGAAUAUCUCAUGGUGCUAAAUGCUUAAUUAUUUGGUCAGGUUGCAGCCUGUCAGCGGAGAAAUAACAAGAUCACAAAAUGCUUAGAACCCAUGAAUUUGUGGAUGGAAAGCAUGAAAAGUAUGAGUGGUUUACUUGCAAAAUAGUUUAUUACAAAGUGAUUAAGGCUGAGAAUGUUAUCCGAGUUUGUGGAGUUUAGCCACUAAGUGUUCUUAUCAUAACUACGGGUUUUUAGGUAAAGUUUAUCAAUUACAUUGCUAUUUGGGGUUUUAAGUUUCAAUCCAGUCCGUAUAAUUUCUUCUCAUAAUCUCUCUAAUCCUUGCAUCGGUUUUUAGGUAAAAUUUAUCAAUUACAUCGCUUCAAAUUAUUAAUUUUGUGGUAGAUUUUUGUUAAUAUAAUCGUUAAUUUCAUGCUAGCUGUGAAUUUCGUUAUGAUGUUUGAUGAUUUGUUGUACGGUUUAUAGAUUAGGUUUUUGUAAUUUCAUCAAUAAUUCAGGUUUAUUAUUAUAUUUGUUGAUAUUUAACGAGUUUACGUUGCAGGGUGUUUAGCCCCCCUCUAAGCUUUUGGUUUUGACAAAUGGGUUCCGUUUGCUUGCCAAGAAAAGAUGAUACUUUAAACAUAUUGGUUUAAAGUAUUGGCCCAACAAUAUUGGUUUUGUACAUACUUUAAACAUAUUUUGGUUUUGUACACUUUAUCACCCGUGUAUUUGCCCAACAAUAUUGGUUUUGUGCUCAUCAGAGCGGUUCGCACCUCCUUCUGUGUUUCACAUCUUCUUAUGCUGGUACGUAUUUUAGGUUAUCCGUCGACGACACUGGUUUUUAAAUUGAUAUAAAUGAGUAUUAGAUCUUCACUUUCGUAUUGAAUCUUAUAAGUAUGUCUUUUUUAUUUCAUCAUCAAUAUGAUUUUGCUUCAACCUUGACUGGGUUCUUGCACUGAUGUAAAUUGAUAUAAAUAAGCUUCUGUGCGUUGUGAUAUUGCUUUUUGGGAGGUGCAUUUUCAUUUACUGUGAUCUUAUUGCUUGAUUUUUUGAUGUUAUCUGUUCAAUAUGUACAUAUUGAAUUAUGAAAACUUUAGGUGAUCUAGAGAAUGAAUUGGCCAGUUAAGAAGCAAAGGUUACGACAGGUAUACACUAUACACUUUCACAUUUCUUUACUUCUUUUAAAAGUCUUUCACUUUCACAUAUGAUAUCCAUCUUAAUGUUAUUUGAUUCAAAAGGUGUACAUACACUGAGAAGCUACAAUUGAUGGUUUGUUUUAAUACCAGUUUGAUAUUGAUAUUAUAGGUUUUGUUCUUAUUUCAUUGAAAAUUGUUUUCAUGACUUAAUACACGUUCAUCUGCAUAGGGGUCGGAGUAAUCCAGCGAAACUGGGGUGGUCAGCUGGUUUGGUUGACGGAUCAAAAUGUGUUCGGGUCAGAAGUCGUCCAACCCGUUUUUGAACAGAACAGUUUUGGGUCAAAUCAAGUUAUGAAAGAAAUGAGUUGGGGGUCAGCGUUUCGGGUAAUAAAAUACGUUCGGGUCUGAACGGGUACGAAAGAAAUGAGUUACGGGUAAGGGUUUAGGCUAACAAAACAGGUUCAGGUCAAAGCUGGUUAGGAGAUAGCUGAAUUAGCGUAGUUGUUUUGGAAAAAAAAAUCAUGUUGUUUUGGGUCCAAAUGGGUAAGGGCAAUAUGGAGUUGGCCUAGAAAAAGGUAAAAAAAAAAAAAUAGAUCCAUUUGCUUUUUUUUUUUUGUGGUGGCAACUGGCGUGCGUGGUAGUCUUAUUCUACUUUUUUUAUCAAAUCAAUUUUUCACAUAUAUUGUGUUUGUCUGUUUCAUGUAUGUGUGAUAAAAUGAAUAAAAUUGUUGCUGAAAUGGCUAGGGUCUCUUUAAAUGUUGUUAAAGUUGCAUCUUUAUACAUGUUUUGCCUAACACAAGUUUGGGUUUAGUAUAAAUAGAUUUGGGUGGACUGAACUUGCAUACACGUUUAACUAUUUAAGGUCGCCAUUUUAAAAAAGUAUCAGAUUGGUUUGGUCAAAAGGGGUAAGGGUAACAAACAAGUUAAAUCGAAACAGCUAUUAUGGCUAAAUAUCAAUUUUUUUUAUUCAAAAGGCUAUGAGUAAAAUGGGGUCGAGCUAAAAUGAGUCAUUUUUAGAAAAAGAAGUUACAGAAUAGCGAUGGAGGUAUUAUUCUAAGUUUAAGGGUGAAACUAAUUGGUUUUCAAAACUGCAUUUUUUUUAAUUAAAUGGCUGCAAAAGUAUUUUUGUUAAAGGUUGAAUACAGAUAGGACAAAAGAAACACGUUUAUCGUUAUACAGGUUGAAACUGCCACCUCUACAAUUUUAGAACAAACAAGUGUUGUAUUGCUACAUUGUUUUAACUACUUGGUUGAUGAAAUUAGGCAAUGAAGAUGCUAAAAAGGUUCGGUUGCAUACAGUUGCACAAGCCGCUUAAAUGGGUUCAGUAGAAAAGAUGGUUGAUGGUUCAGGUUCUGAGGAUUCAAAUGAUGGCUCUUAAUGAGCCUCCAGCUAAAUUUAUUAGAAUGGUUGAGAUUGAGGAUCCAAUGAUGUGAAAAAGGUGAAGGUCAAUGGAGGUGAAGAAUGUGAAAUCCCAGCCCUUAUUGAAAAAAAAUUAAGACCUAUCAAAGAUCUUCUAGCACACUCAUGCCAUUUACCUAUUUAUGCAGAUUGUUAUGUUGUUAAGUUGUGCUAACAUUCAGAUAUUUUUACAUCUUAUUGCUUUAAUUAUGGUAACCACAUUUAGUUAUAUAUUCGUUCAUUGCAAGGUCUUGAUAGUGCUGGGGUUGAGAAAAUCCUUGACCUGGCUUCAAUAACCUUAAACAAGAAUUCUGGUAUCAAGUACAGUUUGGAUCUUUUAUUUCAAAUAGAAAUACUGGGCAACUAAAUAAAUUCAUACGUUGUAAUACCUUGAUUUAAUGUGACAGGAGAUCACGCGUUGUAAUAUCUCGAUUUAAUGUGACAGGAGACAAAAGUGCAGUUCUGCCAUGUGGCCUACGUAUCGACUCACCAGUUAUGAUAAUCCAUGGAUUCAUUGAACAAGAGCUCUUCUAUAUUGCCGAAUUUGUUCUGAUUUUGGUAUCCAACUAAUAUGUAUGCUACCAAUGGUGGUGGUGUGGUGUUGGCUGGAAAAGGUUAGUUUCAUAUUGCAAAGGAGGUUCUUACACUACAUUGGCCAGAAACUGCAGUUGCAAGUGUAUUUGUCCAAAUUGCAGACGUGUGGAUAAAUUUGGCACAUGUUCAUUUCACUCAACGCAAUUUUCAUUAGCCAUUAAAAUGAAUGAGCUUUGGAGUGCUUGAUACGAUACCAGUUGCAGAGUCUUUAAUUAAACUAUAGGCAAGAUGUGAGCUAUGUGGAAAGCCCGUUUAUUUUACGUUAGGGAAGACAGACGAAAUUGAGAGGGAACUGGUUGCUGGUGCAGAUGUAUACAUGCCAGUACGUAGGCAUCACUAUGCAAGUGGGCAAGUGCUCAAAGAGAUUGCAGAAACUGUUCUUCAGACACACACUACUUAGUGUCGUUUGUUGUUAUUUAUUGAUUUAAUACAACAUUUCUUUCAUUUCAAAAAAUUAUUUAUAGACGUAUACAUGAUAAUUAAUAUGAAAUGUAAUCGUUAAUUAAUUUUUAUAAGAUA